rnacentral:rRNA from 1 species
AUUGAACGCUAGCGGGAUGCUUUACACAUGCAAGUCGAACGAGUUGCGCACGGGUGCAUAAUAUAUCGGACAUUGGCCAGUAACAGGGGAUAACUCCACGACAGAGUGGCUAAUACCCCAUACUAUUGGAGCAGACGCUAGCGUAUUAGCUAUUGUGGGGGUUAAAGGCUCACCAAGGCAACGAUCCGUAGCUGGUUUGAGAGGACGACCAGCCACACUGGGACUGAGAAACGGCCCAGACUCCUACGGGAUGCAGCAGUGGGGAAUUUUGGACAAUGGGGGAAACCCUGAUCCAGCCAUCCCGCGUGUAUGAGAAGGCCUUCGGGUUGUAAAGUACUUUUGGCAGAGAAGCGGUAUCUGCAGAAUAAGCACCGGCUAACUACGUGCCAGCAGCCGCGGUAAUAC